AUUAAUAAUGAAAAUAAGGGCAGUUUUUUCUGCUUUAUGAUUGCUGAUUCGUGGCAAGACAGACAGGCAUAGGGUGGUCGUUCCCCACCCUGUGUUCAUCGCCACUCAUCAAUCUUCAGGGUAGCUUCGCUACCCUUUUUUUACCGGAGUUUG
rnacentral:sRNA from 1 species